rnacentral:hammerhead_ribozyme from 12 species
GACGCGUCUAGAAGUGAAGCCCUUCUACUGAUGAGGUUAUGGCAGACCGAAACGCAAA